CCUACGGGAGGCAGCAGUGGGGAAUAUUGGACAAUGGGGGGAACCCUGAUCCAGCCAUGCCGCGUGUGUGAAGAAGGCCCUCAGGUUGUAAAGCACUUUCAGUGAGGAAGAACGCCUGGUGGUUAAUACCCAUCAGGAAAGACAUCACUCACAGAAGAAGCACCGGCUAACUCCGUGCCAGCAGCCGCGGUAAUACGGAGGGUGCGAGCGUUAAUCGGAAUUACUGGGCGUAAAGCGCGCGUAGGUGGCUUGAUAAGCCGGUUGUGAAAGCCCCGGGCUCAACCUGGGAACGGCAUCCGGAACUGUCAAGCUAGAGUGCAGGAGAGGAAGGUAGAAUUCCCGGUGUAGCGGUGAAAUGCGUAGAGAUCGGGAGGAAUACCAGUGGCGAAGGCGGCCUUCUGGACUGACACUGACACUGAGGUGCGAAAGCGUGGGUAGCAAACAGGAUUAGAUACCCCAGUAGUC
rnacentral:rRNA from 1 species